rnacentral:lncRNA from 1 species
GGUACAGAGUUACCCUCCUUCUUCGCGACCGGAGAAGAUCGGCCUUCAGUCAAUCAGAGAAACCCUAGGUGCAACCGUUGAAAACCUUACUAGAAAUAUAGUCAGGGAUGUCGGAAAGUCACCCUAAACAUCCACUGAGUGAGAAUCGAGCCACCGGAUAGCAGUAAAACUCUAGGUUAAACCACCAGAAACCCUAGAAGCCGAUAUGUCACCCAAAAAUCACCCAAAAUCAUCAGAAAAUCUCCUAGAACGUUCGAGUGAAGAAAAUACACUCAGAUAUCACGAUGAAAAACUCAGAAAGGCGUACGAUUUAUACCGGAAUCAUCAUCGACCAUAAGGUCGCAGAAACACCCCCAAAAAUCUCGAAACAGAUUUCAUCCAAGACAUUAAGAUACAGAUAAACAUAGUCGGAUCGUCGUCUAGGCUCUAAUACCAUGUAAACAUUGAGAUUAGACCGAAAAAUCGUUGAGAAUGUAGAGAGAGAAACUAGAGAGAAGGAGGAGCGUUUGAGAACUCUCUAGAAUAGAGAGAGAAUUUAUUAAUCAGAAAUGAAAAU